rnacentral:rRNA from 1 species
AUUGAACGCUGGCGGCAUGCCUUACACAUGCAAGUCGAACGGUAACAGGUUAAGCUGACGAGUGGCGAACGGGUGAGUAAUGUAUCGGAACGCGCCCAGUCGUGGGGGAUAACUACUCGAAAGAGUGGCUAAUACCGCAUACGACCUGAGGGUGAAAGCGGGGGACCGUAAGGCCUCGCGCGAUUGGAGCGGCCGAUAUCAGGUUAGCUAGUUGGUGGGGUAAAAGCCCACCAAGGCGACGAUCUGUAGCUGGUCUGAGAGGACUACCAGCCACACUGGGGAUGGGACACGUCCCAGACUACUACGGGAGGCAGCAGUGGGGAAUGUUGGACAAUGGACGCAAGUCUGAUCCAGCCAUGCCGCGUGCGGGAAGAAGGCCUUCGGGUUGUAAACCGCUUUUGUCAGGGAAGAAACGAGUUUCUCCAAUACAGAGACUUAAUGACGGUACCUGAAGAAUAAGCACCGGCUAACUACGUGCCAGCCGCCGCAGUAAAAC